UACGGAAGGCAGCAGUGGGGAAUAUUGCACAAUGGGCGCAAGCCUGAUGCAGCGACGCCGCGUGGGGGAUGACGGCCUUCGGGUUGUAAACUCCUUUCGCUAGGGACGAAGCUUUUUAGUGACGGUACCUAGAUAAGAAGCAACCGGCUAACUACGUGCCAGCAGCCGCGGUAAUACGUAGGGUGCGAGCGUUGUCCGGAAUUACUGGGCGUAAAGGGCUCGUAGGUGGUUUGUCGCGUCGUCUGUGAAAUUCCGGGGCUUAACUCCGGGCGUGCAGGCGAUACGGGCAUAACUUGAGUACUGUAGGGGUAACUGGAAUUCCUGGUGUAGCGGUGAAAUGCGCAGAUAUCAGGAGGAAACACCGAUGGCGAAGGCAGGUUACUGGGCAGUUACUGACGCUGAGGAGCGAAAGCAUGGGGUAGCGAACAGGAUUAGAUACC
rnacentral:rRNA from 1 species